UGCGGGAAGAAGGGAAACAGCUACGGCAUCGUCAUGGUUGACACCGAGAAGAGCCACUUCGAGGUUCAGGAGGUCGCGGAGAACGACGGCAAGUGCAAGUGCGGCACCAGCUGCAGCUGCACCACCUGCACCUGCGGCCACUGAAGAAGCCCUGCUGCUGGGCCUCUCGCGCCACGGCCGUCUACACGUACUAGUACCCAACUUAUGCACUCCAGUGGUGCGUAGUUGUGUCAAUAAAAGUUUCUACCAGUGUGUGUCUGUCUGCUACUAUGUGGUUGUGCAAAAACCUGAUGGUUAA